rnacentral:rRNA from 34 species
GAGUAAUGUCUGGGAAACUGCCUGAUGGAGGGGGAUAACUACUGGAAACGGUGGCUAAUACCGCAUAACGUCGCAAGACCAAAGAGGGGGACCUUCGGGCCUCUUGCCAUCAGAUGUGCCCAGAUGGGAUUAGCUUGUUGGUGAGGUAACGGCUCACCAAGGCGACGAUCCCUAGCUGGUCUGAGAGGAUGACCAGCCACACUGGAACUGAGACACGGUCCAGACUCCUACGGGAGGCAGCAGUGGGGAAUAUUGCACAAUGGGCGCAAGCCUGAUGCAGCCAUGCCGCGUGUAUGAAGAAGGCCUUCGGGUUGUAAAGUACUUUCAGCGGGGAGG